rnacentral:lncRNA from 1 species
AGGGGUGGACGUGGGCUGCGGCUGGCUUGUGACCUCCCCGGGAUGUCCUUCCCCGAAGGGCUAGAGACACGAGUGGGGUCGUCGUUCAGGGACGCCCUGGGGAGCACAGAGGAGGGCCCCUCGCCCCUCCCCCGUCCCCAGUCUGGGGUCCUCCAGGGGACCCCGCCCGGGUCCACUCCGGGGGGGGGGGCGCAGCGCCUGCCGGGUCUCUCUCAACCCUAAGCGCCUUGGAUUCCGACCGGCCAAGGGCAGAGCCUCCCCGCCGCACCCCCACGGAAGGGGGAGACCUGGGGUCUCUGCCAGAUCCCCCCCGCAAGCCCUGAGCCCCGGGCGCUCGCGGCAGUGCGCAGGCGCCGCCGCGAAGGCUGGCCCGAGAACUUUCCUCCCUGUGCGGGCACCUCUCCACGCGGGCAGGUAGCAGCCGCGCCGCUCCGGUCGCCGACGCUCCUCAGGGCCCCGCGGAGCCCCCUUGGCAGGACCACGCGGGCUGUGGUAUCCCCGGUGACCAAGGCCAUCUUCGUGGCUCUGUUCCUCUUGGCUGUGCUGCUCAUCCUCUACGUGAUCCUGUGGUACAUUUGCCGGGACGUGGACAACGACUACAUCUGAAGCAGAUUCCGAAGCAGAAGGAAGCCUCCCAGGGACGCGUGGGAGCCCUGCUCCCCCCUCCCCUCGCGAGGCGCUCAGGCAGGACUCACAAAGGGAUGCCUGCGAACCGGCUCCUCCAGCAGCCUGUCACCUCCCAGGAAACGGAGUCACAGCUGAUUGGCUACCUCCGAUGUGCCAGGCGGUGUGGCGGCCCUUGACACGAUUCAGGAAUGAAACCCCAUGUUUGCCGGGGUUGAUUUGGGAGCCGAAGCCUGCAGCCGACACUUCACUGCCACCUUGGCAACUCUAGGAGCACAUCCAGCACACCAUAGCCCAUGGAGCUGCCCUAUUUUGCCAAGCUUCUCCCCGCAGUGACAGCUUUUCAGACUUGCCUUUGUGUCCGACGACGCUGACAGCUUCUGGUUGAGACUAUUGCAGAGUGUCGCUCUAUUUGAAUCUGUGUUGUGUUCUUCUCAUAAUGGGAUUGUUGCUGUGAGUGUCAGAAAGGAGGACCAGAGACGUGACGUGCCCUCCCACCUUCAAGGGUGCGGGGGCAUCGACAGGACUCGUCACUGCGACCUUGACCUUCAGCACCUGGCUGAGACGAUGUAGGUCCAGCUUCUCCACGGAAUGGGAACGCCCCCUCCCUUUCUCGCGCCUGUUAUUGGGAAGGAAAUCCCUAGACUAGGUACCGAUCCCAGUAAGGAUCUGAAAUUCUCCAGCACAAACAUUUGUCUCCUCUCCCCACGAUGUCUUUAUUCAGUCCUUUCUCCAUCUUGCUCUGGACACAUGGAUACUGGUUUUAUGAUGUGGGUUGUAGCGCCAUAUGCUCUUCUUUGGGUAUUCACAUAGUUCCUGACUUGGCCACCGCAGCCCCUUCCAUGACUCCUUUGUCCCUUGGAUGUGCCCCCAUCCUUGUUUUGUUUGUUAGCUUGUUUUUUGAGCAUUUCCGUGUUUGAUGGCACAACAAGCGG